UUGGAGGGCAAGUCUGGUGCCAGCAGCCGCGGUAAUUCCAGCUCCAAUAGCGUAUAUUAAAGUUGUUGCAGUUAAAAAGCUCGUAGUUGAAUUUCGGGGUUCUACCGUUGGUCGGGCUAUUGUCUGUACUGGCGUGUAGAAUUUCUACCUUCUGGGGAACUAUCAUGUUAUUAAUUUAGCGUGGUAGGAAACCAGGACCUUUACCUUGAAAAAAUUAGAGUGUUCAAAGCAGGCUUAUGUCUGAAUACAUUAGCAUGGAAUAAUAAAAUAGGACGGUGGUCCUGUUUUGUUGGUUUCUGAAUCACCGUAAUGAUUAAUAGGGAUAGUUGGGGGCAUUAGUAUUCAAUUGUCAGAGGUGAAAUUCUUGGAUUUAUUGAAGACUAACUACUGCGAAAGCAUUUGCCAAGGAUGUUUUCAUUAAUCAAGAACGAAAGUUAGGGGAUCGAAGACGAUCAGAUACCGUCGUAGUCUUAACCAUAAACUAUGCCGACUAGGGAUCGGACGACCUCACAUUGAUGUGUCGUUCGGCGCCUUACGGGAAA
rnacentral:rRNA from 1 species